UAAUCAGCAUAGAGUGGUGUGGCCGUCCUGACAAACACAGACUCAUGAUGAGGAGCUACAUCAUGGCUCGGCUGUGCUGUGGCUUUCCUCACAGGUGUGGAGUGGACGCAGUGAGACGGUGAGCUGUGCUUGUGGCCAGACGAGACGAGACCUUUAAGUACAGACCUCUGGAUCUCUCCGUCACGUGACUCUAUCUCCAACCUGCCUGCUCCCCGCCGGCCGUCCGCUCCCACCACUGACAAUAAGAAGGAUGGCAGAGGCUCCCAUGUCAUGUGAUUGUUUUGUUUCCUUGCCCCCUGGUUCUCUCAAUGACCAUGUGAUUUUUGGGAAGAACUCGGACCGUCCCCGAGAUGAGGUGCAGGAGGUGGCCCACUACCCUGCAACAUCUCACCCUCCAGGCUCCAUGCUGGAGUGCACAUACAUCCAGAUCCCUCAGGUAGAGCAGACUCAUGCUGUCGUCCUUAGUAAACCUGCUUGGAUGUGGGGCGCAGAAAUGGGAGCCAAUGACCAGGGAGUCUGUAUUGGGAAUGAGGCGGUCUGGACCCGAGAGCCCGUCACCCCCGGAGAGGCCCUGCUGGGUAUGGACCUGGUCCGACUGGGGCUGGAGCGUGGUGACAGUGCCUGGGCUGCGCUGACCGUCAUCACAGGCCUCCUGGAGCAGCAUGGCCAGGGGGGACAGUGCAGGGAGGAUCCUGAGCCCUUCAGCUACCACAACACCUUCCUUCUGGUCGACCGCAACGAGGCCUGGGUCUUAGAAACUGCUGGGAAGCUGUGGGUGGCACAGAAGGUCAGAGAGGGUGUGAAGAACAUCUCUAACCAGCUGACCAUUGGCGAUGAGAUCUCUGCAGAGCAUCCAGAGCUGCGGAGCAUGGCGCAAGCUCAGGGCUGGUGGGACGGCGAGAGGGAGUUCAACUUCUCUCAGGUGUUCAACCCUGAGAACCCACCUGCUCGGAUGGAACUGGCCAAACAGCGUUAUAAGGGAGGCACAGAGCUGCUCCAGCAGCAUGAUGGCUCAGUGACAGCAGAGGUGAUGAUAUCCAUUCUGAGGGACAAGCCCAGUGGCAUCUGCAUGGACUCUGGAGGUUUCUGCACCACAGGCAGCAUGGUGUCUGUUCUGCCCAGAGACUCCAGCCUACCCUGCAUCCACUUCUUCACUGCCACCCCCGACCCCUCCAGUCUUGCGUUUCUCUCUUUCCUGUUCCUUUCCCUGUUAACCGACCCCGCCUGCACCCUACUAGGUCUAUAUUCAAGCCUUUUAUCUUCUCGGACUGUUCUGCUCCAGUGCCGAGGGUGGUCUCCCCACAGUUCGGCCCAGACGACCCUGCCAGGAAGCAGCCUCGCUUUCAGAGCCAGGUAGACCGCAGACAUGAUCUGUACAAGGCUCACCAGGUGGCGCUCAACAACAUGGAGACCAAUCCGGAUGAGGGCUCAGCUGUGUAUGAGAUUCUGAGGGACCUGGAGUCACAGUGUCUCAGUGAGAUUUCAGCCAUGCUCAGUGGAGAGAUACCAGCAGAAGAACUGGGGGACUUAUUUUUUGAUUGCGUGGACACAGAGAUUAAGUUCUACCAGUGAGGAGUGCCCUCAGGUGGAGAUCUCUCACACUUGCUGAGUGGCAGGAGAAGGCCCUGGGACUGUCAAAAACCCUUGUGUUCCUUGUCUUUGAUUGGCCUCCACCUCACUCUCACGUCACACAUGCCUGACACCAUUCCAUCAUUAACACAAACUAAAUGUCUCAGCCGCACAUUUCAUUGGAGCAUAUUUAUCAGCUGUAUCACCCAGAGAGCAAUGACUGCACCUCAUUAGUGAGUAUAAUGAUGUAGAUUUCACAGGCGCAUAUGUAGAGCUGUGUGACAUUGUACACAUACUGUAAGUAUGGAGUUUGUUUAACAUUCUGUUUGUCGCUGCAGAUGAUGGGGCUGUCAUUUGUUUGAUGGCUUCCUGUCUAGAAAGAUCUAAUAAAAGAAUGUGCAUA